rnacentral:rRNA from 1 species
AUGGAUUCAUGCUUCAGGUCUGGUAAUGUAAAAGGUGCCUUGAAAUGCUGGGAUGGUAUGGUGAAAGUUGGUGUGCAGCCUGAUUUUAUUGCCUUCUCUGCAUACAUCAGUGGCCUUUGCAGAUUAGAUCAUGUAAACGAGGCUUAUCGAGUAUGUGUGGAGAUGACAAGAAGAAGUCUUGUUUCAAACAAUAUUACUUACCACUCUCUCAUAUCUGCGAUUUGUAGGGUCGGCCAUGUAGCUGAAGCACUGAAACUAGAGCAGAAGAUGAGGCAUAGUGGUCUUGUUCCUGAUGUUUUCAGAAGCAAUAUUCUGAUUGAUGGUUUUUUGCAGAGAAGAAAGGUUGGAAUUGGAUAUGGUGAAUAA